UGAUCCACCUCAGUCCUCUCCGUGCCAAUCUUUAUGUAUCAACCUCUUUAAUCCUUCUUCACACGCCUCUAACUAUCUAGGAAUAAGGUUCCCAUAAAUGACACAGGCACGUGGAGACAUACCACAGCUGUGGAGCACACCCAUAUCUGCAGCUUGGGAAAUCGGUGCAAGCAAAACUCUGUGCAAGCCAUCUUCAUCCAACGUUCUCCAUGCCACACGAAGUAUGAAGAACACCUGGAAAGGUUCCUUCCAGCCUUCUUUAAGAGGUGCCAAUAUACUCUGGCAGUGGAGGAAGAUGAAAGGGUCUCAGUGCUGAUACCAGGGGAGUGAAGUCACCUUGUUCUUGCUGGUGAAAAUUCAGGACUUUUGCUGAAGUUUCAGUGGAAAUACUGAAGGUUUGUGGUGCUCCAGGUCCUUCACAGAGAAAAACAGCAGCUGCCACUUACAAGUAACCGCUUGCAUUCGAGGAACUUGGACAUCCACCGAGUGACCACAUGGACCCAGUUGCUGCUGCAAUUCUGAGUUCAAAACAACAGCGGAGCACCUGGACUGCUCUUGGUGCUUCCUCCUGGCAGGAGGGAUGGAAAUCUGGCAAAUCCCCCAUGGAUCUGAGACUUGGGACAAAUGGUAUCAGCUCCAGGGGCUGAACUCAAAGCACACCCAGCUGUACCAGUGCUAUGAGCUGUGGGUUUUAGGAGAAAGCUGGUGGUAACAAAAGCUUAUUGUCAUCUCUAGAUGAUCCAUUGGUCUGUGCUUGGUGGUCUCAGGAUAUUUCAACAGUGGCCAGGUUCCUGUGGGAAAAAAUCAUCACCCCAGUAGUGUUCAUCUGGGGCAGUUGUUUGUACUUGCAAAAGAAAAGAGAAGAACUGCUCAGAGCUGUAUAGGUGUCCUUAUCUUAGAGACUGGGGUUUAUUCCUUGUUGUAGGGAUGGCUCCAGCAGGCACAGCAUGGAGAGCUGCAAGCAAUGCAGGAAUUUGCAAUGCUUCUGGAGUGAGACCACCAGAAAGCUUGAAACUGUGGAGUGGUGCCUUCAUCUGAAAUAAGGUUUUCACCCCAAAGACCCCCAAAUGUUUUUUUUUCCUCACCCUGGUGCAAGCUCUGUUCUUUGCUGGAAGGGUCCCAGCUGAAUUCAGAUCAUGAUGGGGAGCGAUGCUCUGGUGUUCCCUGUCUUCUGCUAUGAUUUGUAAAGACUCUGUGACAACCCCUAUGGUACUGGCACACUAAAGAAUCAAUGAAUAUAAUUUUCUAUUAUUACUGUCAGUUACCUUUCCUGAAGAUGUUUUUGGCAUGUUUUUUUUUUGUUUGUUUUUGGUCAAAAUUCCUUGGUAAACCUUCAUUCCUCUAUAACAGAUCACAACUACCAUGCAUUUGUUUCACAAGACCCCAUGGCACUGAGGUUCGCUUCAGUAAUUAUUUACAGUCUCUGUGUUGGAAACUCAGUUUUACCAUGAAAUUUUCAGGCAAAUGAGUCAAAACUGGGUGCCUACAGCCAUACUUAGGCUUUCUGAGAAAUGUGAUCUCAUUCAGAGAAGUGUCAAGAAUUUUUCUGUGUCAAUGGAAAGCAGAGGUGCUCAGCACCUUUGAAAUACUUUCAAACUCAAGUAUCUAAAGAUAGAUUUAAAAGCCUAAUUUGAGAACCUGGUUUUAAAAUGUUGGUCUAGAAAAUUCUGUGGUUUAAAUUUUCUUCCACUUGCAUAUCUACAGAAUGUAAAAGGUCUGGGGCAAUGAACUAUGAAAUACUUGUGAAUGUUACAUCUCAAAAGCAGUUGCAUUUCAGUAGGGAAUUUGUGGUAAAGACAGUAGAGAUUUUUGUUCAAAUUAGGUAAGUGUCAGUUAGAUGAUGGCCCAUUUCCCUUGAGGAGGUUCUAAAUAAUAACAGUAAAUCAUUUUAAAUAUCCUCUAUGUGUAAAAAUCCCAUGAAUUCCUUCAAGACGCAAACUAUGUUUUUACUUUUAUUGCAUAAUAAGUCUAGAGUAAACAAAUAUGUACAAAAAUAUACACAUCCCUUAUGCCAUUUCCUUUAAAACCAGAGAACAUUAAUUUGGUAAGAAGUCAUUUAACCAAGAUUUCUGAUGAACUUUCACUGAAUUAUAGGAAUUUACAUUAUGAAUUUGGUUUACCAUCUUGUCUGUUUUUGUUAGGAAAUACUCAGAAUAGCAGUGGGAUCAUCUGGGACAGCAAACCCCAAAUCUCUCAGCGUCAUCACUCUCCUAAAAAGCAACGGAUUGCACAAAAGGAUGUUUUGCUCACGAUGUUGGUUUUCGAUACAGAACGUGUUUUCUUCUGUAUUUGAGUAAUAAAUUGAAAGAAAUGUAGCAAAUUUA